rnacentral:rRNA from 1 species
GUGGCAGGGGCGGCGGUAAUACCAGCUCUCCGAGUGGUAGGGACAAUUAUUGGGCUUAAAGCGUCCGUAGCCGGCUUAGCAAGUCUCCUGUUAAAUUCAGCGACUUAAUCGUUGAGCCGCGGGAGAUACUACUAGGCUAGGAGGCGGGAGAGGCCGACGGUAUUCCCGGGGUAGGGGUGAAAUCCUAUAAUCCCGGGAGGACCACCAGUGGCGAAGGCUGUCGGCUAGAACGCGCUCGACGGUGAGGGACGAAAGCUGGGGGAGCGAACCGGAUUAGAUACCCGGGUAGUCCCAGCCGUAAACGAUGCGGGCUAGGUGUUGAGGCGGCUACGAGCCACUUCAGUGCCGCAGGGAAGCCAUUAAGCCCGCCGCCUGGGGAGUACGGCCGCAAGGCUGAAACUUAAAGGAAUUGGCGGGGGAGCACCACAAGGCGUGAAGCUUGCGGUUCAAUUGGAGUCAACGCCGGGAACCUUACCGGGGGCGACAGCCGGAUGAAGGCCAGAUUGAAGGUCUUGCUGGACAAGCUGAGAGGAGGUGCAUGGCCGUCGCCAGUUCGUGCCGUGAGGUGUCCUGUUAAGUCAGGCAACGAUCGAGACCCGCGCUCCUAGUUGCUACCGAGGAAGUUUUCCAAGGGGCACUCUAGGGGGACUGCCGUCGAUAAGGCGGAGGAAGGAGCGGGCCACGGCAGGUCAGUAUGCCCCGAAUCCCCCGGGCUACACGCGAGCUGCAAUGGCAGGGACAAUGGGUUCCAACCUUGAAAAGGGGAGGCAAUCCCUAAACCCUGCCUCAGUUGGGAUCGAGGGCUGAAACUCGCCCUCGUGAACAUGGAAUGCCUAGUAAUCGCGCGUCAUCAUCGCGCGGUGAAUACGUCCCCGCUCCUUGCACACACCGCCCGUCGCUCCAUCCGAGUGGGGUUUGGGUGAGGCGUGGUCUUAUUGGUCGCGUCGAAUCUAGGUUCCGCAAGGUGGGAGAAGUCGUAACAAGGUAACC